AGUGAACGCUGGCGGUAGGCCUAACACAUGCAAGUCGAACGGCAGCACAGUAAGAGCUUGCUCUUACGGGUGGCGAGUGGCGGACGGGUGAGGAAUACAUCGGAAUCUACUUUUUCGUGGGGGAUAACGUAGGGAAACUUACGCUAAUACCGCAUACGACCUACGGUUGAAAGCAGGGGAUCUUCGGACCUUGCGCGAUUGAAUGAGCCGAUGUCGGAUUAGCUAGUUGGCGGGGUAAAGGCCCACCAAGGCGACGAUCCGUAGCUGGUCUGAGAGGAUGAUCAGCAACACUGGAACUGAGACACGGUCCAGACUCCUACGGGAGGCAGCAGUGGGGAAUAUUGGACAAUGGGCGCAAGCCUGAUCCAGCCAUACCGCGUGGGUGAAGAAGGCCUUCGGGUUGUAAAGCCCUUUUGUUGGGAAAGAAAAGCAGCAGGUUAAUACCCCGCUGUUCUGACGGUACCAAAAGAAUAAGCACCGGCUAACUUCGUG
rnacentral:rRNA from 1 species